UGAAUGUCAUCAGUGGAACUUUGUGUG
rnacentral:piRNA from 1 species